UUAAGUGAUGAUAGCCUAGGAGAUACACCUGUUCCCAUGCCGAACACAGAAGUUAAGCCCUAGAACGCCUGAAGUAGUUGGGGGUUUCCCCCUGUUAGAUAUGGUAGUCGCUUAGC
rfam:Streptococcus gallolyticus strain ICDDRB-NRC-S1, complete genome.